AGUCAUCGUUUACAUGACGAAGGAUCUGUUUUAUUAAACAUUCGUCGUCUUCUCGUGUGACGGCCUGGUUUGUAGCUGUAGCAUGCGCACAUUGGAAGAGCGCUUAAACGUGGACUUGCUGGACUGAUACAACACUAUUCGCCAGCAAUAAAGAGCCAUGUUCGGUAGCCUUUCGUGACUUGUGGCGUAACCUCAUGCAACGUCGAGUGCAAUACUCCCUCUCCCCGCUGCACAAAUGAACCCACCGGCGUGUUUUUUUUCCCCCUGCAUUUCUACCAUAAAAAUGGAGCCCAUCUGGACUGCAUUACUUACAUGCGACUCUGCUGUGAAAAGCAAAAUUUGGCAGCUUGAGAUGUAAACAAAUCUCAGACUGCUGUUGGAUUUAGCGGUGAUUUGAUUGACGGUUAUCGUUGGAAAUCAGAAGCUUAAUGUUGGACGCAGGUGGUUCUGUUCUCCUGCAUGCAAAUCACUUUUGUCUCUGUACAGAACGGCUUUCUCUUUUUAGCUGUGGUUAACAUUCGUUGCCUUAAUUAACAGUGACCUUUGUUGUGUCCUCCUGUUCACUGUGAUGUGCUUGUGCCCUGUUCUGUCACUGUAAUGUUAACGUUGAGUGGCACUGCAGGGGAAACUUGGCCCUGUCCGUGUGUGAAUACAUGUCAAAGAUUUUUAGCACCUUAUUAAAAAAUAUGUUUUUAAAAGCAA